CAGGUGGAGUUUUCCUGCACAAGCUCUCUUUGCUUGCUGCCAUCCAUGUAAGAUGUGACUUGCUCCUCCUUGCCUUCCACCAUGAUUGUGAGGCUACCCCAGCCACAUGGAACUGUUGACAUGGAUUUUAUUCAACAGACAAGCUGACAUUUAUCAAGAUGCUUUCAAUUACACCAAAAGAAAUAGAAGUCUUCGUCUUAUUGCUGUUUAUGUGGCAGUAUUGUUCUCCUACAAUAAGUUGAUGGAAAUGAGUUGUUUUGUUUUUCAUUUUAGCCAUUUUACAAGUAAGUUUGCUAUUGUUGUUGCUGUUUUUAGAAUAAAAUGAUUUUAC
rnacentral:lncRNA from 1 species